rnacentral:rRNA from 1 species
UACAGAGGUCUCAAGCGUUUGUUCGGAUUCAUUGGGCGUAAAGGGUGCGUAGGCGGCGCGGUAAGUCGGGUGUGAAAUCUCGGGGCUUAACUCCGAAACUGCAUUCGAUACUGCCGUGCUUGAGGACUGGAGAGGAGACUGGAAUUUACGGUGUAGCGGUGAAAUGCGUAGAUAUCGUGAAGGAAGACCAGUGGCGAAGGCGGGUCUCUGGACAGUUCCUGACGCUGAGGCACGAAGGCCAGGGGAGCAAACGGG